GACGAACGCUGGCGGCGUGCUUAACACAUGUAAGUCGAACGGAAAGGCCCCCAUCUUGGUGGGGGUGCUCGAGUGGCGAACGGGUGAGUAACACGUGGGUGAUCUGCCCUGUACUUCGGGAUAAGCUUGGGAAACUGGGUCUAAUACCGGAUAGGACCAUGGUUUAGUGUCUCAUGGUGGAAAGAUUAUUGUUUUGGUUCAGGAUGAGCUCGCGGCCUAUCAGCUUGUUGGUGGGGUAAUGGCCUACCAAGGCGUCGACGGGUAGCCGGCCUGAGAGGGUGGACGGCCACAUUGGGACUGAGAUACGGCCCAGACUCCUACGGGAGGCAGCAGUGGGGAAUAGUGCACAAUGGGCGGAAGCCUGAUGCAGCGACGCCGCGUGGGGGAUGACGGCCUUCGGGUUGUAAACUCCUUUCGUUAGGGACGAAGCCGCACUUUUUUUGGGUGUGGUGACGGUACCUUUGUUAAGAAGCACCGGCUAACUACGUG
rnacentral:rRNA from 1 species